GACGAACGCUGGCGGCGUGCUUAACACAUGCAAGUCGAACGGAAAGGCCCUGCUUUUGUGGGGUGCUCGAGUGGCGAACGGGUGAGUAACACGUGAGUAACCUGCCCUUGACUUUGGGAUAACUUCAGGAAACUGGGGCUACUACCGGAUAGGAGCUCCUGCUGCAUGGUGGGGGUUGGAAAGUUUCGGCGGUUGGGGAUGGACUCGCGGCUUAUCAGCUUGUUGGUGGGGUAGUGGCUUACCAAGGCUUUGACGGGUAGCCGGCCUGAGAGGGUGACCGGCCACAAUGGGACUGAGAAAGGGCCCAGACUCCUACGGGAGGCAGCAGUGGGGAAUAUGGAAAAAUGGGGGGAAGACGGAUGCAGGAAAGCCGCGUGCGGGAUGACGGCCUUCGGGUUGUAAACCGAUUUCGCCUGUGACGAAGAGUGAGUGGCGGUAAUGGGUAAAGAAGCACCGGCUAACUACGUG
rnacentral:rRNA from 1 species